rnacentral:rRNA from 2 species
UACGGGGGGGGCAAGCGUUGUUCGGAAUUACUGGGCGUAAAGGGCUCGUAGGUGGCCACCUAAGUCCGACGUGAAAUCCCUCGGCUCAACCGGGGAACUGCGUCGGAUACUGGGUGGCUUGAAUCCGGGAGAGGGACGUGGAAUUCCAGGUGUAGCGGUGAAAUGCGUAGAUAUCUGGAGGAACACCGGUGGCGAAGGCGGCGUCCUGGACCGGUAUUGACACUGAGGAGCGAAAGCCAGGGGAGCAAACGGG